AAUAUAUCGAAAAUAGAUUUAUAUACCUAAAUAUAUUAAUUAUUUUUAGAUUUAAUGUAUAUUAAAAACAUCCAAAAUAUAUAAGAUACUUUUAAGGCGUGUAAAAUACUUGAAAAUAUAAACAAAUAGUCAAAACUAAAUGUCUAAGAUAACUAAAAUAUACUGAAAACACCAAAAAAUACUUAAAAAUUCUAUUGAUUCUCUAUCAAAAUAUUCAAACCAAACCAAUUUAUAUGUUAAUUGUAGGUGUUUUGACAUAUGUUAUUCAAAUUUAUAUGUAAUAUAUUAUUUUAUUUAUAGAUUUUGAGAAAUUUAAAGUAUAUAAUGAAUUUUAAAAUUUUAUAAAUUAUUUAAAUGGGUUAUCCGAAUCCGAACUGAACCUACUUAGAUCCAAAUCGAACCCGAAU
rnacentral:lncRNA from 1 species